UACGUAGGGACCUAGCGUUGUCCGGAAUCAUUGGGCGUAAAGCGCGCGUAGGCGGCCCGGUAAGUCCGUUGUAAAAGUCGAAGGCUCAACCUUCGAAAGCCGAUGGAUACUGCCGGGCUAGAGUCCGGAAGAGGCGAGUAGAAUUCCUGGUGUAGCGGUGGAAUGCGCAGAUAUCAGGAGGAAUACCCAUAGCGAAGGCAGCUCGCUGGGACGGUACUGACGCUGAGGCGCGAAAGCGUGGAGAGCGAACAGG
rnacentral:rRNA from 1 species